GCAGGAGAGGAGAGAGUCAGCCUGGAAUCUGGAAAUUCCUGGGAAUGGAAGCCAAUCCGCUCCACAUCAGGCCCCAUGCACUUCUGGGCAGAGAAGAACUGGCAGCCUGCUGAUUUCGGCAGUCAUGUGCCCAGCUAAUAAUCAGGGAUUUUGUUCCUCAGUACAAAGGAAAAUGGAGAUGGAAGAACAACCAGUCGUCUCUAAUCCCUGAUGGAGCAGAUCAACACGACACUCACUGCCUCCAUUCAGGCCACUCUUAUUUGGGUUCACUGGCCUAACCAAACAUUACACAUGCUUGAGAGUCAACUUCCAAGGAUAAAGAUGAAGCGUUCUCUCAGGUUGCACCCGCUCCACUGACCUCUCAGGUCAGGGCAGACCAACUCCAUUUGAGGGAUUGGGAUAAGUAGUAUCUCAAUGUAUCCUGGCUAAGAAGGCGUGCUACUUAAAGAUAAGCUUUGUCCUUGCCACAGGAAAAAAGCAGUAGGCUUAGACCUGUCCCACCACACAGCCAUGCCAACUAAAGGAGGCAGGGAGAAGCAUCUCCAACAGAGGUGUACCCAAGGACACUGGACUCCAAACUAGGAUUUGAUUUAGACCUUUCCCCUGUCUUCAAUGACUAACAUGGUGGGUCAAGGUAUGCCUUCUGGAUCACAGAGCAAUGAGAAUUCAGGCCAUGCCAGAUGGAGGAGUGGAGGGCUUCACUGACCAAGACCUGGUGAAUCAAGGGGCAUCCCUGGUCCAGGUAAAGCCAUACCUGUGUGUGGUCACUUCUCUCUGUGUGUGAGCAGGACUCCUUGCCUCAUUCCUAACAAAGAGAUUAUGGCUGAAGCUUUGGGAUGUCACUGCUGAGAAUAGGUUACAAAAAGACUAUGGCUUCUGUGUUGCCCUCCAUCUGAGCACUUACUGAGGGAAUCCAGUUGUGGGAGGCCCUUGGGGAGGUCCACAUGGCAAUGAACUCCUAUCUCCAGCCCACAGCCAGGAAUGAUCAACACCUGUGAAAGCCACAUGAGUGAGCUUGGAAAUGGAUCUUCUCCAAUAAAGCCUCGAGAAGACUGCAGCUCUCAUCGAUAGCUUGACCACAAUUUUGUGAGGAACCCUGAACCAGAGUCACCCAGCUAAGCUGCACCCAGAUUCUUGCCCCGCAAAAACUGUGACAGCAUGCCUAUUGUUGUAAACCGCAGAGUCUUGGGGUACCUAUUUAUGGAGCAAUAAAUAAUGAAUAUAA